AUUGAACGCUGCGGCAGGCUUAACACAUGCAAGUCGAGCGAGCGGCGGACGGGUGAGUAAUGCUUAGGAAUCUGCCUAUUAGUGGGGGACAACAUCUCGAAAGGGAUGCUAAUACCGCAUACUAAUAGAUUAGCCUCAGUCGGAUUAGCUAGUUGGUGGGGUAAAGGCCUACCAGGGCGUCGAUCGGUAGCGGGUUUGAGAGGAUGAUCCGCCACACUUGGACUGGAGCACGGCCCAGGCUCCUACGGUAGGCAGCAGUGGGGAGUAUUGGACAAUGGGGGGAACCCUGAUCCAGCCAUGCCGCGUGUGUUAAGAAGGCCUUAUGGUUGUAAAGCACUUUAAGCGAGGAGGCGUUACUCGCAGAAUAAGCACCGGCUAACUCUGUGCCAGCCGCCGCGGUAAUUC
rnacentral:rRNA from 1 species